GCCGAAGUGGCGGAACUGGCAGACGCACUGGACUCAAAAUCCAGCGGGGUAACACCCGUGGGGGUUCGACUCCCCCCUUCGGCACCA
rnacentral:tRNA from 3 species